rnacentral:misc_RNA from 1 species
UAGGCUCGGGGAGGGGCCCUG